GUGUUGAUGACGUUGAGGGUCCACCCGUUCCCAUACCGAACACGGAAGUUAAGCUCAAUAGUGCCGAAAAUACUUGAUUGGUGACGAUCCGGGAAGAGGUGUUGCUGCG
rnacentral:rRNA from 1 species